rnacentral:rRNA from 1 species
GACGAACGCUGGCGGCGUGCUUAACACAUGCAAGUCGAACGGAAAGGCCCUGCUUUUGUGGGGUGCUCGAGUGGCGAACGGGUGAGUAACACGUGAGUAGCCUGCCCUUGACUUUGGGAUAACUUCAGGAAACUGGGGCUAAUACCGGAUAGGAGCUCCUGCUGCAUGGUGGGGGUUGGAAAGUUUCGGCGGUUGGGGAUGGACUCGCGGCUUAUCAGCUUGUUGGUGGGGUAGUGGCUUACCAAGGCUUUGACGGGUAGCCGGCCUGAGAGGGUAACCGGCCACAUUGGGACUGAGAUACGGCCCAGACUCCUACGGGAGGCAGCAGUGGGGAAUAUUGCACAAUGGGCGGAAGCCUGAUGCAGCAACGCCGCGUGCGGGAUGACGGCCUUCGGGUUGUAAACCGCUUUCGCCUGUGACGAAGCGUGAGUGACGGUAAUGGGUAAAGAAGCACCGGCUAACUACGUG